AGAAACAGCAGGCGAAGGAAACUACUAAAAAAUACACUGGUCAAAGAUAGACCAUGACAGGAUACAACACAUUGGCCCUCAUUUAUCAAACAAAUAUAUAACAGAAAACUGCAAAUGCUCUCCUCAGUCUGGGUCAGUAUGGGGCUGGGGUCCAGCUGUUCUCCGGUCCAACAUGCUUUGUGGUGGCAGGUUUAAGCCACUUUUCAGGCUACCACAUUUAUCACGCACGGUCAUUGUUACGCUGUGAGUGGUGAGAUUGGAUCGUUACAUAAAGAAAACUCCACAUGGUAUAUUUCACAUGCUGAUGUUUGUCAGGUAUUGGACAAACAAGAACAUUUACUUAGGAUUCACUCUCACAGGUGGAAUUAAUAACAUUAACGCUGGCUGCAUUCAAUUUCGGUGAGCCAGUGCCAUAUGGCUCUAGUUUUGUGUAUGGCUUACUGGGACCCCAAGUUGACCAGAGAAACCACUACACCUCACCCUUUCAUGUACAAUUCAGCGUUUCAUAAGACUUUCUUAUUAUAUGGACUUCUAAUAUCAGUCUUGUCUCCUUCUAAUGACAUACAAACAUUCUUUUCUAUACACCGCAAUUAGCACAUGCAUUUUGGGGAUGCU